GCUUAACACAUGCAAGUCGAGGGGCAUCAGGAAGAAAGCUUGCUUUCUUUGCUGGCGACCGGCGCACGGGUGAGUAACACGUAUCCAACCUGCCCUUUACUCGGGGAUAGCCUUUCGAAAGAAAGAUUAAUACCCGAUAGCAUAAUGAUUCCGCAUGGUUUCAUUAUUAAAGGAUUCCGGUAAAGGAUGGGGAUGCGUUCCAUUAGGUUGUUGGUGAGGUAACGGCUCACCAAGCCUUCGAUGGAUAGGGGUUCUGAGAGGAAGGUCCCCCACAUUGGAACUGAGACACGGUCCAAACUCCUACGGGAGGCAGCAGUGAGGAAUAUUGGUCAAUGGGCGCUAGCCUGAACCAGCCAAGUAGCGUGAAGGAUGAAGGCUCUAUGGGUCGUAAACUUCUUUUAUAUAAGAAUAAAGUGCAGUAUGUAUACUGUUUUGUAUGUAUUAUAUGAAUAAGGAUCGGCUAACUCCGUGCCAGCAGCCGCGGUAAUACGGAGGAUCCGAGCGUUAUCCGGAUUUAUUGGGUUUAAAGGGAGCGUAGGUGGACUGGUAAGUCAGUUGUGAAAGUUUGCGGCUCAACCGUAAAAUUGCAGUUGAUACUGUCAGUCUUGAGUACAGUAGAGGUGGGCGGAAUUCGUGGUGUAGCGGUGAAAUGCUUAGAUAUCACGAAGAACUCCGAUUGCGAAGGCAGCUCACUGGACUGCAACUGACACUGAUGCUCGAAAGUGUGGGUAUCAAACAGGAUUAGAUACCCUGGUAGUCCACACAGUAAACGAUGAAUACUCGCUGUUUGCGAUAUACAGUAAGCGGCCAAGCGAAAGCAUUAAGUAUUCCACCUGGGGAGUACGCCGGCAACGGUGAAACUCAAAGGAAUUGACGGGGGCCCGCACAAGCGGAGGAACAUGUGGUUUAAUUCGAUGAUACGCGAGGAACCUUACCCGGGCUUAAAUUGCAGUGGAAUGAUGUGGAAACAUGUCAGUGAGCAAUCACCGCUGUGAAGGUGCUGCAUGGUUGUCGUCAGCUCGUGCCGUGAGGUGUCGGCUUAAGUGCCAUAACGAGCGCAACCCUUAUCUUCAGUUACUAACAGGUCAUGCUGAGGACUCUGGAGAGACUGCCGUCGUAAGAUGUGAGGAAGGUGGGGAUGACGUCAAAUCAGCACGGCCCUUACGUCCGGGGCUACACACGUGUUACAAUGGGGGGUACAGAAGGCAGCUAGCGGGUGACCGUAUGCUAAUCCCAAAAGCCUCUCUCAGUUCGGAUCGAAGUCUGCAACCCGACUUCGUGAAGCUGGAUUCGCUAGUAAUCGCGCAUCAGCCACGGCGCGGUGAAUACGUUCCCGGGCCUUGUACACACCGCCCGUCAAGCCAUGGGAGCCGGGGGUACCUGAAGUACGUAACCGCAAGGAUCGUCCUAGGGUAAAACUGGUGACUGGGGCUAAGU
rnacentral:rRNA from 1 species